CGCCGACGAACUUGAACCAUCAUGAGUCCUAUAAUGCUGCGGAUACGUGUCAGACGGGCCGGGCAGGCCGUACUGCGGCCGGGGGGAUCCAAACAGUUCAAAGUCAUAGGCGUAUUCGCCCUGUGCGAAGCUCGGAUAAUAUUCACCGCCCACCGAAUCCGGACGAUAGCCAUGUGAAUCCAUAUUUAACUGUGAUUGUCCGGGGUCUGGCCGGG
rnacentral:lncRNA from 1 species